UGAUGUUCAGACAUUCGGCACCAUCUUCGUUGCCAUGGUAACGUUAACUAACACACAUUUGUGUUUAAAGUUUGUCAACUUUAACUGUGUUGAUCUGAGGACACAGUGCUGCAGAUGUGUGAUUUACUGGAGAAAAGCACUAUCUUGGCAGGUUGCCUUGGUAACGUGACUGGAGUAACACAAACCCUUGUCUGUAGGUGGACGGAUUUUAAAUAGGUUAAGCAGCAGGAGAAACCAGCUGAGUCCAACCACGAAGAUCCCAACCACAAGCAAAAUCAGACAGUAGCAGCGUAGAUGACGAAUGGAGGAGACGACAGAAAAGCAUGAAACCAAAAGCACAAAUGUUCACAACUGGACCAACAAUCACAACUGUGAAGCCACGACACACUGCUCCGAAGGACUGGGCAGCGCGACCCCGGCUUCCAGCUGCCAGGACACACAGCAGGAGGACAGCUUGAAGAUGUUUCCGAGCUCGGGACGAGGACACAAACUGUCCAGGAAGCUCCUGUAAACUUCAAGAGUAAAGUCCUCCAGUUUGAUGCUGUCACCCUGCCAGAAAAAAAAAACAUAAUACAAAAUGCAACUGUUU